GAACUGAAGAGUUUGAUCCUGGCUCAGAUUGAACGCUGGCGGCAUGCCUUACACAUGCAAGUCGAACGGCAGCGCGGACUUCGGUCUGGCGGCGAGUGGUGAACGGGUGAGUAAUACAUCGGAACGUGUCCUGUAGUGGGGGAUAGCCCGGCGAAAGCCGGAUUAAUACCGCAUACGACCUAAGGGAGAAAGCGGGGGAUCUUCGGACCUCGCGCUAUAGGGGCGGCCGAUGGCAGAUUAGCUAGUUGGUAGGGUAAAGGCCAACCAAGGCGACGAUCUGUAGCUGGUCUGAGAGGACGACUAGCCACACUGGGACUGAGACACGGCCCAGACUCCUACGGGAGGCAGCAGUGGGGAAUUUUGGACAAUGGGGGCAACCCUGAUCCAGCAAUGCCGCGUGUGUGAAGAAGGCCUUCGGGUUGUAAAGCACUUUUGUCCGGAAAGAAAACGUUCGAGCUAAUAUCUUGAGCGGAUGACGGUACCGGAAGAAUAAGCACCGG
rnacentral:ncRNA from 1 species